GUUGUAGCUCCAGCGUUAGUAGAAAUAGAUAUACCAGAUAGUUUUCUAUAAUGCGACAAUAGGGAUUCCAUUAAAUGAGACAAUUAAUAUUUAAUAUUAAGUUAUAGAUAGAAAUUUAGUUUUAAUUUAUAAUUUAUUUCAAAUUAAUUAAAUAGUUAGGAGGGUUAGUUUAAAUUAUAGAAUAAAUGUUUAAUUAUUAAUAAAUUAUUUAUUUUAUAAUUUAUUUUAAGAUAUCCCAGAAUAGCAGGGUAUUAAUUUAAAAUCUUAAAAUUGAUUUUUAAAUUUAAGUAAAUUAUUAAGUCUCUGUCAAUAAUAAAGUAAUUAAGCA
rnacentral:rRNA from 1 species